rnacentral:rRNA from 1 species
AACGAACGCUGGCGGCAGGCCUAACACAUGCAAGUCGAGCGAGAUCUUCGGGUCUAGCGGCGGACGGGUGAGUAACGCGUGGGAAUAUGCCUCUUGGUACGGAAUAGCCUCGGGAAACUGGGAGUAAUACCGUAUGUGCCCUUUGGGGGAAAGAUUUAUCGCCAAGAGAUUAGCCCGCGUUGGAUUAGGUAGUUGGUGGGGUAAUGGCCUACCAAGCCGACGAUCCAUAGCUGGUUUGAGAGGAUGAUCAGCCACACUGGGACUGAGACACGGCCCAGACUCCUACGGGAGGCAGCAGUGGGGAAUCUUAGACAAUGGGGGCAACCCUGAUCUAGCCAUGCCGCGUGAGUGAUGAAGGCCUUAGGGUUGUAAAGCUCUUUCAGCGGGGAAGAUAAUGACGGUACCAGCAGAAGAAGCCCCGGCUAACUCCGU